ACGGGGUGCAGCAGGCGGGAAAAAAAUAACAAUGCGGGAAACCGCGAUAAGGGGACACCGAGUGCCAGCAUUUAUGUUGGCUGUCCACAAGAGAAAACGGCAUGUGUUAGAAGGGCCGGGCAAGACCGGUGCCAGCCGCCGCGGUAACACCGGCGGCCCGAGUGGUAAUCACUUUUAUUGGGUCUAAAGGGUCCGUAGCCGGUUUGAUCAGUUCUUCGGGAAAUCUGACAGCUCAACUGUUAGGCUUCCGGGGAAUACUGUCAGACUUGGGACCGGGAGAGGUAAGAGGUACUACUGGGGUAGGAGUGAAAUCUUAUAAUCCCUGUGGGACCACCAGUGGCGAAGGCGUCUUACCAGAACGGGUCUGACGGUGAGGGACGAAAGCUGGGGGCACGAACCGGAUUAGAUACCCGGGUAGUCCCAGCCGUAAACGAUGUUCGCUAGGUGUCAGGGGCGGUGCGACCGCUUCUGGUGCCGUAGGGAAGCCGUGAAGCGAACCACCUGGGAAGUACGGCCGCAAGGCUGAAACUUAAAGGAAUUGGCGGGGGAGCAC
rnacentral:rRNA from 1 species